CCGCUGUUGGUGACUAUGUGGUAAUAAGGCUCCUCGCACUGGAACAAGACUUCACUGCUAACAAUCCAUCCCAACUCCCCUGCAUGGCUUAAUAGCAGGAUGUCCAGCUGCAUAUUUUCUGGCCUGGCAUUCAAGGUUCACUUGGGGAGUUCCUUACAGCUGGAAAAUGGACGUGGUUACAUCUGGAUGAAGAGACAACUCGUGGUGACUUGUGAAUGACCUGAUUAAGUGAUCUACCAGAGCAUUCUGAGCCCCUGGGUGGUCCUGGGUACGAGGCAUGAAAAGUGAAAACUGCUGGCACUGCUACAGGUGGAAAGUCUUCUUUUUGUCACUGAUGUAUAAAUCCCCAGAGACUUAAGGGUUGCCCUUGUAUCUUUAAGACUAUGUAGCCUCUCAUCAGCCUUUUCAGAAAAGAUUGAGGGGCCUUCAAAUGGGAAGUCUUGGAUGGUUUGUUGAACCUCAGGGGGAAUAUCGGACAACUGCAGCCAGGACGAGUACUGCAUAGUGAUGGCGGAAGUCAGAGGUUGAGAAACACAGUUCACUUUAUCUAGACUUGCCUGCAAGGCCAUUCUGGCAACUAAUUUGCCCUCCUCCACCAAAGAAGUGCACUCCUACUUUACCUCAUCUGGAAGCCUGUCCUUAAGUUUCAAGACAUUAUCCCACAGGCUAAAACUGUACCACCAACGGAGUCUGGAGGUUCACGAUUCUAACCUGUAAACCUCCUGUGGAAUAAAGCCUCAUUUGGAA